GACGAACGCUGGCGGCGUGCUUAACACAUGCAAGUCGAACGGAAAGGCCCUGCUUUUGUGGGGUGCUCGAGUGGCGAACGGGUGAGUAACACGUGAGUAACCUGCCCUUGACUUUGGGAUAACUUCAGGAAACUGGGGCUAAUACCGGAUAGGAGCUCCUGCUGCAUGGUGGGGGUUGGAAAGUUUCGGCGGUUGGGGAUGGACUCGCGGCUUAUCAGCUUGUUGGUGGGGUAGUGGCUUACCAAGGCUUUGACGGGUAGCCGGCCUGAGAGGGUGACCGGGCACAUUGGGACUGAGAUACGGCCCAGAGUCCUACGGGAGGCAGCAGGGGGGAAUAUUGCACAAUGGGCGGAAGCCUGAUGCAGCAACGCCGCGUGCGGGAUGACGGCCUUCGGGUUGUAAACCGCUUUCGCCUGUGACGAAGCGUGAGUGACGGUAAUGGGUAAAGAAGCACCGGCUAACUACGUG
rnacentral:rRNA from 1 species